rnacentral:misc_RNA from 1 species
UGGCAGCUUCAGAAUCAAAGAAAAGGUUUUGCUGAGGAAUGGUUUUGCGGUGAAAUGAGGAAAGGAGGGAAUUUAGGCGGGUGUAAUUGGGUAAAUCAGGGAGACCCAAUUUCACCUCUACUUCCAUAAUGAGUGGUGAAAGAUUCAAGGGGAAAGACCGAUACGGUGGGAUUUGGUGGAGGGGUUGGUUUGGUUGCGGUCGAGGGGGUGAAGGAUAGAAGUGGAGGCGGUGGGCAGAGGUGGCGGUGGCAGUAGAUGUAUUGGCGGAGGUGCGUUUGCGAGCUUCUUCGAGUUCUUCU